UAUGGGACGCCAGUUCGCCAGACUACCGGAACAGCCUCGUGAGGUCGGAACACUGGAAGGCUAUAGCAACGGUGCUGGGAUCAAAAGUCCAGGACGUAGAAAGCAGAUGGCGUAACCUCAAAGACACCUACGCCAAAAAACUCCGCGACAUAUCGAAGCUGGAAAGAAGUGGAGCGGCUGCACCACGAAAGGAGGUCCGCUGGAUGUACUUCGAGCAGCUGAAAUUUCUAAAAGAUACCCUGCAGAUGCGACCCACAUCAAGCAGCAUAUCACUAGAUGGUCAAGAAGACUGCACACAAGGCAGUGCCGCUGAAGAGGACACGCCACUAGUUCUGCAGUGGAACAUCAUUGACGAAACCGGCUCCCCAUCCACUCCUGGCGAUGUGGUGCUUUCAACGACUUCCGCAGCUCUUUCCGACCCAUCACAUGUUG